rnacentral:tRNA from 1 species
GCCGGGUGCGCAGGUAGGCGUGGGCUUCGCCGGGCCAGCGGAUCUCGGCGCGUUCGUAGCGCGCAUCCGGCC